GAAGUGCGAUAAGCAGUGCGAAUUGCAGAAUUCCGCGAAUCAUCAGAUUUUUGAACGCAAGUUGCGCCAAGCAGUUCGCUGUUUGGCAUGCUUGUUUCAGUGUCGUAAAAAUCAUAAAUCUUAAUGUGAUUGAUAUGAAUUUAUUUUCAUAUCUCUCAUGAAAUAUGAAUGUAUAUGUACUAAAUAAUAUACAAUGAAGUAGUCACAUUCGUGUGAUCUCAUUGUUUAUUAUUAGAUUCAUUUAUACAUAGUAAUAAAUAACAUCUAAUAAAAUGGCAUCUGAAAUCAAGCAAGAUUACCCGCUGAACUUAAGC
rnacentral:misc_RNA from 1 species